UUCGGUACCCAAAUGAUCUUCAAAUUUGAUGAAACUUUGCAGGAAUGAUCUACACACUGUGUUUUAGACAUUGUACGGUUGAGAUGUGGGAAUACGACCUGAAAAUAAACGAAAUAAGGAGUCCCGCACUUUAAUUUCAAAGAGGGAUCCCUCUCUGGAAGGGGACUAUAUAUAUAUAUAUAUUUUUUUUUUUGAGUUGAACCAACAAAAAAUUGAGCUAGUAAUAAAUAAUAAAAAACAGAAAGUUGAGCUGAAAGAUUAAGAGACGAAAAUAUCAUUUGAGAAAUAGAGGUUUGACACCGUUAUAAUGAUUAAUGGGUAUGUAUUAAAAUUGGUUUGAGUUUUAGUGUUGAGGUACACAUGUGAUAGUUUUUAAAAAUGAUAUACUAAAAUGAUGAAUGAGUUGUUGUUAAAGCACUAUAUGUAAAAUUUACUCGAAAAGAAACUAUCACAAGAGCAUCAUACUCCUCAGACACACAUGGGUUCAUCUAUAUCGAGCAAAUUAAGUACAGGGGCGGAACUACCCUUCGGCUAGACAGGGUCCGGACCCCUGCCAACACUUGUCCAUCUUUCUAUAAUCAGUCCAUAUAUAUGCUGCAAAUGAUGAUAUCUUCUGUUAUUUGUAUCAUUAAAUCCCCCCCCCCCAAUAAUGAAAUCAACAAUUAAGGCAUAAUACUUUGAACUAAUAGCAUUUCAUAUAUAAUAACUACACCUAAUUUAUAGAAAGAAAUGUAGUUGCUUAAAUUUAGAAUAUUAUGUUAAUUAUCAUCAUUGAUGUCUAAUCUAUUUGAUUAGUUUAUUUUUAUAAAAAUUUAUAAGAUAAGUAAUCCUUACUAAAAUUUACAUACUAUCCUUUGUAACCUCUUCUUUUAUAUAUGGACUCCUGUAAAAUUGAAAUUUUGGCUCUGCCCCUGAUCAAGUAUAUACUAGGUUAGAAUCAAUAGAAAAUUUCACCUAUAUAGAAUCAAAUUAGUAUCCCUUGUAUAAAUGGGAAUUUUUGGUAACUCCGUAUAAACUCCUGAAUAAAGUUUCAUGUUAAAAGGAAAACUAACUUUUGGGAAAAAAAAUUAUAUAAAUAAAAAAAUAAAAUAGUAACACUUAAGACACGUUGUUUUUCUUCGAAGCACAUUUCUGGUGUUUCUUCGCAUGGCGCUUGUCCGGCAAUGUGACGCUCCAGCAUCUGUGUUGGCCUUUGGUUGCACUAAUAUAUCAAUAGUGUUGUUCGGGCAGGUGGUUGUUUCUGGGAUUGACUUUUAGGAUUGAUUUUUCUUCAUUGUUGACACUUAAUAGUGGUGGUCGGCGGCGGCUUGGAGCGCUAGGGGACCAAAAUGUGGGUGGGUUCUUGUAUGUAUGGUAAGGAGAUGUUUAUCGUUGUCUUUGACGUGGUGGCGUCAAUACGGCGUGCAUUUCUUAGGACAAAGCUUUCCUUCAAUGAAAAAAAUGUCUCUCUCUCUCUCUC
rnacentral:lncRNA from 1 species